UCCAGGAUUCAGUAUCUAGCUUGACGAGU
rnacentral:piRNA from 1 species